UAUCAAACAUGAAAACUGGCAACUCUUUUCAGUUUCAAAAGAGGACAAUCUUCUCUUAUUUACAGAAGACAUCUAGAACACAGCUGCUGACAUGUUACAUCUGGAAAUCACUGCUUGCAUAGGCGAGUCAAAGCUUCUUAGACCUGAUUCACAAAUUAUUCUGAAUCUAGAAGGUCCCUUUCACCACAGAAUAUUCUAUGAUGUCCUGUAAAGGGAACAAUAGAAAAAGGCAGAUAUAGCCCUAUUGGGCCAACAGAGGUAUCCCUAAUAAUGCACAAUAAAGAGGCUUCUUUUCAAAAAGUAAUUUGUCUCCAAGGUGAUAUCAGAGGGGCAAGCCAUUCCUGAAAGUACAGCUUUCUUGCUCUUAGUGACCGGUCUUCUUUGGGUAGGAGCUGUUCAUAUGUUAUUUGUACCAGAGGCAUAUUGAAGCACACACAUCAUGUAUGUCUUGCAGUCUUUCUUCCUCAGAUUACCUGCAGGCAUUCCUUAAAGAGAAUCACAACACUAAAUCUUACCCAAGGGUGAGAUUUCCAAGAGUGAUAAAAACUCUUCUGCCAGUCAGGUGCCAAGGUGUCAACAUUUUUUUUAGAGCCCUCUUCCCUGUAACUGUGUAAAGUCUAGGGGCACUGAAGGCUGCCCGUAACUGCGUCGUCAUACUGCAAGUGAAAGCCAGUCAGGUCAGGAGUGACACAGAUGAGACGAGGAUUUUCUGAAGAAACGAAAGAGGCAAGUAGGAGUGUCCCAGAAUCUAUGCGGAAGGCUAUGGAGAUUCCCCAUUUUGUGAAGAUAGUGGAACAAACAGAGAACAAGACAGGUGCUAGCUCUGCAGCUCCUCAGCAGGCAGUCCUGGUGAGAAGGAUGAAGACUCCCCAUGCAGGAAGGACCAUGGACAGAAACACCACGAGGGCUCAGGAAUCCAUGCGGGAGGAGGUGGAGAGGAUUCUGACUGAGAAGCUGGCUGUGUUGCAGAGCCAACUGGAAGUCUCACAGCACACAGCCCCACCUCCGUAGGAAAUGGCCAACACCCAGGCUUCCUUCCAGGCCAUCUCUGAAAAAAUGCAGUCUCUGAUGACAUUUUUGCAGAACGUGGAGGCAUCUAGAAAGCAAGAUGCCUCAGAGAUCCUUGAGAUCCUCAGAGCAGAGAUGCAGGGCAAAAUAAGCAAGGAUUUG
rnacentral:lncRNA from 1 species